rnacentral:tRNA from 1 species
GAACCCUUGGUGUAGUGGCUAUCACGUCUGAUUCCAGUACUAGGAUAUCCAGAAGGUCAUCCGUUCAAGUCGGGUAGGGUUCA